rnacentral:rRNA from 1 species
AACGAACGCUGGCGGCAGGCCUAACACAUGCAAGUCGAACGCCGUAGCAAUACGGAGUGGCAGACGGGUGCGUAACGCGUGGGAACAUACCCUUUGGUUCGGAAUAACUCAGGGAAACUUGAGCUAAUACCGGAUAAGCCCUUACGGGGAAAGAUUUAUCGCCAAUGGAUUGGCCCGCGUCUGAUUAGCUAGUUGGUGAGGUAAUGGCUCACCAAGGCGACGAUCAGUAGCUGGUCUGAGAGGAUGAUCAGCCACACUGGGACUGAGACACGGCCCAGACUCCUACGGGAGGCAGCAGUGGGGAAUAUUGGACAAUGGGCGCAAGCCUGAUCCAGCCAUGCCGCGUGAGUGAUGAAGGCCUUAGGGUUGUAAAGCUCUUUUACCCGGGAAGAUAAUGACUGUACCGGGAGAAUAAGCCCCGGCUAACUUCGUGCCAGCCGCCGCAGUAACAC